rnacentral:rRNA from 1 species
GAUGAACGCUGGCGGCGUGCUUAACACAUGCAAGUCGAGCGAGUGAGUUCUUCGGAACAAUCUAGCGGCGGACGGGUGAGUAACACGUGGGCAACCUGCCUCAUAGAGGGGAAUAGCCUCCCGAAAGGGAGAUUAAUACCGCAUAAAAUUAUCGAGUGGCAGCACAUGAUAAUCAAAGGAGUAAUCCGCUAUGAGAUGGGCCCGCGGCGCAUUAGCUAGUUGGUGAGGUAACGGCUCACCAAGGCGACGAUGCGUAGCCGACCUGAGAGGGUGAUCGGCCACAUUGGGACUGAGGCACGGCCCAGACUCCUACGGGAGGCAGCAGUGGGGAAUAUUGCGCAAUGGGGGAAACCCUGAUGCAGCAACGCCGCGUGAGUGAUGAAGGUCUUCGGAUUGUAAAGCUCUGUCUUUGGGGACGAUAAUGACGGUACCCAAGGAGGAAGCCACGGCUAACUACGUGCCAGCCGCCGCCGUAA